ensembl:snoRNA SNORD38A small nucleolar RNA, C/D box 38A
CUUCUUGUGAUGAAAACUCUGUCCAGUUCUGCUACUGAAGGGAGAGAGAUGAAAGCCUUUAGUGCUGAGGAAG